AGCGCAGGCGGGAGGCCAAGUCCAUCCUAAAAGUUCGGGGCUCAACCCCGUGAGGGGAUGGAAACUGGUCUUCUUGAGUGCAGGAGAGGAAAGCGGAAUUCCUAGUGUAGCGGUGAAAUGCGUAGAUAUUAGGAGGAACACCAGUGGCGAAGGCGGCUUUCUGGACUGUAACUGACGCUGAGGCUCGAAAACGUGGGGAGCGAACG
rnacentral:rRNA from 1 species